UGGGGAAUAUUGCACAAUGGGCGAAAGCCUGAUGCAGCAACGCCGCGUGAGCGAUGAAGGCCUCGGUCGUAAAGCUCUGUCCUCAAGGAAGAUAAUGACGGUACUUGAGGAGGAAGCCCGGCUAACUACGUGCC
rnacentral:rRNA from 1 species